rnacentral:rRNA from 1 species
GACGAACGCUGGCGGCGUGCUUAACACAUGCAAGUCGAACGGAAAGGCCCUGCUUUUGUGGGGUGCUCGAGUUGCGAACGGGUGAGUAACACGUGAGUAACCUGCCCUUGACUUUGGGAUAACUUCAGGAAACUGGGUCUAAUACCGGAUAGGAGCUCCUGCUGCAUGGUGGGGGUUGGAAAGUUUCGGCGGUUGGGGAUGGACUCGCGGCUUAUCAGCUUGUUGGUGGGGUAGUGGCUUACCAAGGCUUUGACGGGUAGCCGGCCUGAGAGGGUGACCGGCCAAAUUGGGACUGAGAUACGGCCCAGACUCCUACGGGAGGCAGCAGUGGGGAAUAUUGCACAAUGGGCGGAAGCAUGAUGCAGCAAAGCCGCGUGCGGGAUGACGGCCUUCGGGUUGUAAACCGAUUUCGCCUGUGACGAAGCGUGAGUGACGGUAAUGGGUAAAGAAGCACCGGCUAACUACGUG